UACAGAGGGGGCCAGCGUUAUUCGGAAUUAUUGGGCGUAAAGGGCGCGUAGGCGGCCAUGCGUGUCUUCCGUGAAAUCCCUCGGCUUAACUGAGGACGUGCGGAAGAAACUGCAAGGCUUGAGUCCGGGAGAGGGGGGUGGAAUUCCAGGUGUAGCGGUGAAAUGCGUAGAUAUCUGGAGGAACACCGGUGGCGAAGGCGGCAUCCUGGACCGGUAUUGACGCUGAGGCGCGAAAGCUAGGGGAGCAAACGGG
rnacentral:rRNA from 1 species